AAAUUUGAAGCUUCCAUCUUUUCUUUUUUUCCCUUGUUUGCUUUUUCCCGCCUUUUUCGAUGUCACUACUUCUUCUUCUUUUCGUACCAAGGAGGAAGCUCUGUGGAAGCCGUACCAAACCAAAGAAGCAGUCAAUG
rnacentral:ribozyme from 14 species